UCGCUGACCGGGUUUAUCCAAUGCAAGGGCUGGUCUACAGUGCGAGGAACCAGCAAGUCAUGAUGAUGAGGCUUUGUGUACACUAUCACUAAACACGAUGUUUUUCCAUCAACAAGUUGGCCGCUUUGCUUGCCUCGCCUUCCGCAUGUAAGCGCAAAAUCCACGCCUGGUUCACCACUUGCUGAGGAUCUGGACAUGGCGUUUGCUAACUUCAUGAUGAGGCAAGUAUGAGUAUGUAGCUGUGAUAUCCAUCCAUCCAUUUUUGCAUAGCGCUUGUCAUUAGGGUCAUGGGCGCUAUCCCAGCUGGUUUUGGACUGGUCACUAGCCAAUUUUUCACCAGCUGACUUGUAUUGCAAUGGACGUGUCCGUUGUGACAGGACAACUUUCAAGGACCCACACACAAAAUUGAACAGGAAGUGGACCAUUUUAGUUUAAAGCAGACAUUGUCUUGUGGCCUUUUUUCCAUUUUGUAUUUUUGAUCUGAGUCUAAAAUUGAAAUAUGGAAAAUCUGUCUUUUUUUAAUACAUUCUUGUUAGGUUAAAAAACAAACAACAAAAUAUCAAUUUUAUAGUUUUUUUGGUUUUUUUUAAACAACAACCGACCGCUGCUGUAACAAAGUUCAGCACAUAAGGCAUAAAAGACAAUAAUUAAAAUAAUAAUAAUACAAUCAUAAAUGACUAAAUAAAAUAUUUACUGAUUCAAGAUUUAAGUCUUCGACAACCAAUAUGAGGUUUGCUGGGAUUAUAGGAAACUGUAAUCACAUGAUCACAGCGUGCAUGACCUCACUCAUGUUGGCUACAAGAUAGUUAGAAUGUAAACAAACAGCUACAGUUUUCGAACAGCUGAUAGUUCAUCUGUUGGCGAGUAGCACACAUACUGAAGGAUUGGUUCAAUUCACCUGUCCCAUUUAGUCCUCUCUCUCGCUUCACUUUACUUAAUUUCAGGCCGGCUCUCAUACCUCCCCAAAUCUCCUCCUGCAUGCAUCCUUCGCCAAAUGGACUUUGGCCACGCUACACUUUAGUGUGAAGCUCCUCGCGGUUAUAGCUUUGUAGCUAUAAACGGCGAGAGUCUAAAUGCCCUGACAUUAUCCGCUCGACAAAAUGCCACCGCAAUAGUGCAAACAACCCAGCACGACACGAAAAAGGUGGAAAGUGCAAAGUGAGGGAGAAAGUAAUGGCGCUCUUAUAAACUGACCAUUGGUGAAGGCGCCAAAAAAUGUCACAGCCAAUAACGCUGCAAACAGUCCAAAAAGAGUUUGCACAACGCACAACUUCCUUGAUACCAGUUGUUCCUGCUCUGACAUGUAGCACUUUUCUUUGUAUUUUGAUUUUGUUGAGCUUCCUCAUUGUGUUGUGAUAUGUUAGACUGUUGUUGUUUUUGUUGCGCUUGCAUUUUGUACAUUUCAUCAGUAUUUACUUUUUGAUCAAUAGUUAGUGUGUGUGGAUGGUUAGUUUUCUGUUUGCAUUUGUUCUUUGUUCUUUCAUGUAUACUGUGUUGUUUUAUGUAAACAUUGUAUUGUUAUGAUGUGAGUUGUGCUCCCCCUUCUUGGCCAGAUCCCCCUUAAAAAAGAGACCUUUUAUUUUCUGGUUAAGUAAAGGUUUUGAUUAACAACCAUCAUAAAAUAUCCAAAAAAAGGGGUGCAACUGUCAUAUACUGCACUGCAGUUCCACUGCUUUGUGGUGCCUCUCUCUCCCCCCUCCCCUCUCUGUUUUCAGCACCUGUCUUCAAUCAGCCUCAUCACCACAGGUGUAUAUAAGCCUGCCUGUUCCCAGAAAUCCUUGCCUAAGUAUUGCAGCCUCUCCUAGCGCAAGAAAUCACCGAAACGCUCCUCUCCCUUUGGCAACAGAUGCAAUCCGUUCAACCCCCUGCACCAUCCUCCCAGGCAGCUGGUUGCUAUGAUGGGAUUCCCACUGAUGCAAUAUCAACCAACCUUGGCUCAACUCUCAGGCUCAAGGAGGUCAUUAAGGGGGCCCAUUGUGAAGACAUGGACGACAUCAAGAUGGUCAUGACGACAGAACUGCGGAGGAUCCCGGAAGAAUAAUUCCAGGGGUGCAUGAAGGCGUGGCAGAGAAGCUUGGAAAGUACGUUAGACUCCAGGGAGAUUACUUUGAAGAGGAAAACUUGUAGUUUGCAGUUUGGAUUUAAAAUACUGUAUAGCUUUUGUGACAACAUCAAUCGUGCUGGAGCCUAUCCCAGCUGACUGCAGGCAGGAGGUGGGGUACACCCUGAACUGGUCACCAGCCAAUCGCGAGGCACAUAUAAACAAACAACCAUUCACACCUACGAGUCUUCAAUUAACCUACCAUCCAUGUUUUUGGGAUGUGGGAGGAAACCGGAGUACCCGGAGAAAACCCACGCAGGCACGGGGAGAACAUGCAAACUCCACACAGGGGGGGCCAGGGAUUCAACCCCGGUCCUCAGAACUGUGAGGCAGAUGUGCUAACCAGUCGUCCAACCGUCCCACCUUUGUGACAACAGUCCUCAGUCCUGGUAUUUUUAUUUUUAUUUUUUUUAAUACACACUUCUAUGACAGUUUGGAUUUAUCAUCAUGUAUGUUCAAGAAGAGCGCAGGUCUAACUUACUUGCCUGUCAACUGUGGAGUUACUAUAGAAAGAACAAAACAACACACAGCCAUACAAAGUUUGUGUGCCACCUACAAUGUGUUUGCAGGGUCAGUAUUAAGCAUCUCUCCUUUUGGAAGAGAUGAAUGACCUUGAAAAGUGUUGAUGGUGGCUUGAAUGCUGCAUUAGGUACAAUAGGAUUUUUCUUCCAGAACAUUGUGACAUUAAUGAAAGUUACAGUACUAGCAGUUUGUAAUAUGGUCCAACUUCUGACGGUUUGUCGAGGGUAAUCCUCCAAAUAACUGUGACGAGUGUGGUGCAGCAGGUGUGUGAAUAAACCAGGCCUCACAUGCACUGUAUAAUUAGAGUAUGUACAUACAGUAUUAAACAACACAUUAUUUGGUCAUAGCCUCAGGUCUUUGUACUGCUGCACACACAGGAAGCAAUGAACAGGUGAUUCUCCACCUUGGUAACUGGUCCCAGUGGGACACCUCCUGGUGGUGUGUUCACCUGAAACCUCCAUUCCCACCCCCAGAGAGCCUUUAUCUCACAAACACAUCUUGUGUCAUUAGUGGGACCUGCUGUUACCCUGUAGACAGACCCCAUGAUACACUGGAUGGACUGUACACCAUAUAAUAAUAUAAUAUAAUAUCAAACAGAAAGGCAUGCUCCUUUUACAUAGAAGACUGUGACAUACUGUAAUGUAGAGGCAACACUUGUAGGAUACCUCGUUCAGUCUACCUGACUGACUGGAUGGGUGUGAUUGACUGACAACCAGUUCAGGGUGUAGUCCGCCUUUCACCCGAAGUUAGCUGGUCAAGGUGUCAGCUCACUGUGACACUUAACAGGAUAAAUGUGACAGAUAAUGGAUGGAUGGAUGAUUAAGAAAAAAAUUUGAUGACCUUUAUAUGUAUGUCUUUCUCUGCAUUAUUUUGAAUAGUUUACCACCCUGCUUUCGCUAUCAUCAACCCCACCAGACGACAUCUUAGGGCGUUAGAGAAAGCACAAAAACUGGUGGAGCAAAUAGUUGUUCGUUUUUUCCACAGCAAAAAAAAAUAAUUUUAAAUCGCAAGGAGUUUGCAAAUGGUAAAUUGCGAAUAGACGGGGCUUCCUGUAUACUGCUUUCAAGAAAAAAAAUAUAGAUUUUCAGGGCCUUGUUUCCCAUUAUGUUCAGAGUGGACAAACCUGACCUCUUUUGAGGAGUCAGGCUGGCAGGUGUGUUUGGAGAUGGUAUACAGGGUCAGAGUACUUGACAAUGCCCUCAACUGAACACACACAAACCAUUUAAAGCCUUACAAUACUAAAUGUGCCCAAGAGGCAGGGAAACUUGUCACGCUGUUUAUAUUUUGACACAAUGAACGAUGACCUUUGGACAGCAUUUACACACAUUUCCCUAACAAACUGCCAUGUCUCGCCUGUGAAUGAAUGAAAUUUGAGCCGGGCCGGCAGCUUUAGUGAGUUGCUGCUUGGGACAGUUUGUGUGAGUGUCUGCGCUUGGAGAGGUGCAAGAAAACAUGCAGUCAUGCUAAGCAAUAAAAUCUCUCCAUUUGAUUGAUUUAUCAUUGAUCAUUUACUGUAUUCCCUUUUAGAAAAAAAGUAGUAAGUAAGUGUAAUUACCUCAGAUCAUCAAAGUUAUCGUUCACGCCGGACGUUAACGGGUUAACAGCGGACCCCAUUUAAACUCUCUUGCUAACCAGAACAGCAGCUCUUACCGAGGCACAUAUUCAAAUGUGGCAUCUGGAGAAUUUUGCCAAUGACUCCUCUUAUGAUCUUUCAUUCUUUAAUGACUAUUAGCGCUCCAGCAGGCUGUGACCAGAAUUUUGUGUGUCCAUGUUUAUGGCAAAACAGGGAAAUUCAAAUUCUGGAGGCACUGGAGCGUUUUAAAUAAAAUUAUUAUAUAUACUCCUUCAUGAUAGAAUAAAAUGCUCAGCUAUUUAAAAAAAUAAAAAUGAUUCGCACCAUUGCUGAGAUUUUUUGCCUUUUUCUACAUACAAAAAUGUCAUCAUAAAAUUUUUUUUUGUCACGUGUGAGUAACAACUAAACAGCUUAAAGUCAACACGUUUUGACUCUUAUUUCGAGAAUUGUUCACUAUCUAUAGAACUGCACAAAUCACAUUCAGGAAGGUCACAAUUAAUAAUACCUGCAAUGAAAAGACAUGGUAUCGCAUUGCUUUUGACGGCAAGGUAUCUCCUUACAUUUUUAGUACCGGUACACCGUGCAACCCUAAUCCUUCAUUAUUUGUUUUUUGAACAUUUCAUUUAAAAAGUGUUGAAUACAGCUAAGACUCUAUGUCACUGAUGGAUCACAACAAUGUGAAUUUUGACCUGAAACCA